CUUUGUUCCCUUCAGGAAGUUCUGGGUAGUUCUGCUGACCUUGAAGAUGUUGAUUUCAGGGUUUUCCACUGGUAAGUGGGUCAUUAGGUAAAUGACCAAAGAACCAGCGUCAGAAGCUCUCAGACUUGUCAGGAAAGAUACUUUACUUCUUCCCAUUGGAACCAACUGUGUCCAGUACCAUAGAGCACACCUCUGAUUUUCCUACUUGAAAUAAUGAGACAUUGUCACAAGUCCUCAUCUAGAGGAGAUCAGACUAAAGGCCCCAAGUUCCAGCUUCCUGCGUCUGAAAGAAGCUAGGUCAGGAUUUUGCAAACAGGACCAAGAAAUCAAUUUUGUGACCCAUUGAUAAGGACCUUACAGACGGGGAAGUUUCUUUCACAGCCUUUCAUUCCUGCUCACCUUAGACCUUGGACGUAUUGAUGGGAAUCCCAAAUAGAAGGAAUUUACCUGCUGCUAAUUUGGGUACCACAGGGCUUAGCCUGUGGUACAUAUAUCUGAAAGCUACUUUUAGAAGACAUUUUGGAAGACACGAAGCCUGUAUACUUCAGACAAGAAGCCUAAUAACUUGGGGCACAGACCAACUGAAAAUCAAUUCCACAUGUUUGAGGCUUCUGUACUCUAGCUGAUAAGGUAGAACCUGGUGUUUCAACAAAAUUUUUGUAAUAACCAUUGACAACAAUACAGAGACUGUGAUUAUGUAAAUGAUGGACUAAACUUGUAUGAGCAUAACUGUAGCAAUGAAAUACUUUACACUAAUUUUUGAGGAUAUUUAUAUGUUGGUGCUUGCACAAGGUGUGGGCUAUAAGGCCACUAUCCCUUCAAGACUAGACUGAGAUGUUUUCAGUUGAUGACCAUUCACUGUUAUUAUUAUACUUGUAAAUCACAGCCUGUCUUCAUCCCUACAGAUCAAAAAGAGAGUAAUUUCUGUUUUAUAGGGGAUUACUUGUACUACUUGUCUCCUAGAUCUACUCUAUGAUCUAUGGAGUGCAUUUCUGUCUGGAAUUAUUUUUUUCUGUUUGGGAAUUAUAUUUUUCCUAUGAGCCAUGCAGGGGCUCCUGAGAUCUUGCAAAGACCGGUGAAAGGUCUAACUCUUGCUCACUUUGGGGUACUUAAAUGAAGCACCUGAGCCUGGAGUCCUGGCUGUAUGACAGAGGGACAAUACCAGGUGGGAACCAGUUCUGAAUUUCAUCAUGAGAAUUUCAUUCAUUUUCUGGAUGUGUUCAUCUUUCUCCCUUAGUUCAGAGGACCCAGGCCUAGCGGAUUCCCGUGCACUUCAGCCUACAGCCUCGGGUUAGAUCAAAUAAGUCCAUACCUAUGAUCAGCAGAGUUCCAAAAAGAAAAAAAAAAAAAAAAAGAAAAAACCAAACCAAACCAACCAAACAAACAAACCAAAAAAAAAAAAUGCACCAUCACCACCACCAUCAAAGAGAAAAACAAAAACAAAACAAAAACAAAACCAUAUAAUAAUAUCUCAGUAAAACAGCCAAGAAGUAAAGGAGAAAAAAAGGGACAUCUGUCUCAGUAUUUCUCAGAGGAGAAGUGCAGCUCACUGGGUAUUUUCAUCCUCCGACUGCUCCCUCUGCUGCCUGCGAGGCAGCUGGAGGGGAGCCGACAAAGCCGUGCGGCCCUGCAUGGCUGCCCAGGUGGGCUCUGCAUCCCUCUUCCUCACCCUGCUCUCAGCAUUAGAGAUGCCGACAGUUACUAGAUAAAGUUAAAGACUCAUGUAGUGAUCUUCACACUAAUUGGACUGUAAUGUAUAGCCUCGGUCAAGCAAAUCUCUCCCAGCACUCCUCUCCACAGACGGCAAUCAAGCCAUUUACAGAAGAUGCAUCGGCUGCUGGGACCCUGGAGUAACCUUAAACUGCACUGGCCUUUUAGCAGAAAACACAAUUAAUUUUGAUACUGAAGGGCAAUUAGGACUGGGGUUAAAAUAAAAAAUCUUCUGAACAGAGAAUGUCA
ensembl:lncRNA